UUCCACAAACAACACUUUCCCUGCAACUUUCAAUCUUCUUUCUUUAAUGAUUCAAGGCAGCAACUACUUCACCAUUCUUCACUAAUUCCACGAGAAGAGCAAGUAGGAGAACUCCAUGCAUUUUUUUUCUGCCAUUAUUCAAGAAAAAUCAUCAUCAUCCAUCGUUCCCAUCAAAAGCAAGCAAACAACUCAAGAGAAAAUCCAGCAAGUGCUUUGAGCAUCAGGAGGAUUAGCACUGCUAUUCCGAUUCAGAGAUAAGGUUAAACGACAGGCUUUGCCUAUACAGGUUAAUGGCUGGUGACGACGGGGCAGAGCUGAGGCUAGAGUUCAACUCCUUAUUUUGAUUUCCGCUGCAGAACUAGCCAGUAUCUGUCUUUUGUUUCUUAACUUAAGACCUAUCAUGUUGUGAUUCUAAACAAUAUCUUUUGUUGAGCCUAAACUAUUGACUCUCAAAGUAUUUCAAUCAGUGAAUGUUGGUUAUCUGAAGCAUGACACUAAACUUGUGAUCC